UACGGAGGGGGCUAGCGUUGUUCGGAAUUACUGGGCGUAAAGCGCGCGUAGGCGGAUCUGCAAGUCGGGGGUGAAAUCCCGAGGCUCAACCUCGGAACUGCCUUCGAUACUGCGGGUCUCGAGUCCGGGAGAGGUGAGUGGAAUUCCUAGUGUAGAGGUGAAAUUCGUAGAUAUUCGCAAGAACACCAGUGGCGAAGGCGGCUCACUGGCCCGAUACUGACGCUGAGGUGCGAAAGCGUGGGGAGCAAACAGG
rnacentral:rRNA from 1 species